rnacentral:rRNA from 1 species
UACGGAGGGUGCGAGCGUUGUUCGGAAUCACUGGGCGCAAAGCGCGUGUAGGCGGUCUGUUAAGUCUGAUGUGAAAGCCCGGGGCUCACCCCCGGAAGUGAAUUGGAAACUGACAGACUGGAGUCCCGGAGAGGAGGGUGGAAUUCCUGGUGUAGCGGUGAAAUGCGUAGAUAUCAGGAGGAACACCGGUGGCGAAGGCGGCCCUCUGGACGGUGACUGAAGCUGAGACGCGAAAGCGUGGGGAGCAAACAGG